AUGACUUUUGUAUCACUGUGGUUGACUUUUGGUGGAGGAACCAGACUGGAUGUUGGAAGUGAUGCCCGUCCCACCCUGACGGUGCUGCCCCCCUCCACUGAGCAGCUGCAGCAGGGGAAGGCCACGCUCAUGUGCCUGGCCAACAAGGGCUUCCCCUCAGACUGGAGUCUGGCCUGGAAGGUGGACGGCAGCAGCAGCAGCAGCAGCAGCAGCAUCAGCUGGGAGCAGAGCAGCAGCCCCGGGGUGCUGGAGAAGGACGGCCACUACAGCUGGAGCAGCACCCUGAGGCUCUCUGCAGACCAGUGGAGGAAGGUGGGCUCUGUGACCUGUGAGGCCACCCAGGGCUCCCAGACUCCGCUCUCAGAGAGUCUGAGCAGAGACCAGUGUCCCCAGUCCUGAUCUGACUCACUGGUUCUACUCUGCUACUGCUCUCAGUCUGCACUCUUUCUCUGUUUCUCUUAUGAUGUUUCAACAUUAACUUGUUCUUGCUUGUGUUGUUAGUUUUAACAUUUUCAAACAAUAAAGAAUUCCAUCGUAGAUUAUAAAAGUGACGGGUCUCUUGAAUUCCUUUCUUUUACAUGUGUUAUAUAUUAGGAGCAUGAAUCAGGUUAAAGUGCCAAACUGGCAAUCAUCAAGUACAUUUUUUCUAGAUACAUUUUUUAUUGUUUUAAGACUGUAGACAUGGUGCAGCUAUUUCAGUUAAUAUAAAUCACAAAGCUAUCAAAUUUAACUAAUUUAUGCUCUUGAAGGUCCAUUUGUUAAGUUAAUAUGUCAUUAAAUUUGCAUUUUCACCCAAAAUCAUACAUCAUUUGUAAUCCUAUGUUCCUAAUAUCAAUGGUGCCCUGUUGAGAGGUAUCCAUACACAUAUUUUGGGACAUCCUAAAAUCCAUACAUAUUGGUGCCCCGUGUGAGGCAUUGUACAGUCGGCAAUAGUUCUGCACUUUGUAACUCUCUCUUCGUUCUUGCUUAUGUUGACGUU